GACGAACGCUGGCGGCGCGCCUAACACAUGCAAGUCGAACGAGAGAUGAGGAGCUUGCUCUUCAAAUCGAGUGGCGAACGGGUGAGUAACGCGUGAGGAACCUGCCUCAAAGAGGGGGACAACAGUUGGAAACGACUGCUAAUACCGCAUAAGCCCACGGCUCGGCAUCGAGCAGGGGGAAAAGGAGCAAUCCGCUUUGAGAUGGCCUCGCGUCCGAUUAGCUAGUUGGUGAGGUAAUGGCCCACCAAGGCGACGAUCGGUAGCCGGACUGAGAGGUUGAACGGCCACAUUGGGACUGAGACACGGCCCAGACUCCUACGGGAGGCAGCAGUGGGGAAUAUUGCACAAUGGGGGAAACCCUGAUGCAGCGACGCCGCGUGGAGGAAGAAGGUCUUCGGAUUGUAAACUCCUGUUGUUGAGGAAGAUAAUGACGGUACUCAAC
rnacentral:rRNA from 1 species